rnacentral:misc_RNA from 1 species
GUGAAGAACGCAGCGAAAUGCGAUAAGUAGUGUGAAUUGCAGAAUUCAGUGAAUCAUCGAAUCUUUGAACGCACAUUGCGCCUCCUGGUAUUCCGGGAGGCAUGCCUGUUCGAGCGUCAUUAAAAUCACUCAAGCUUAGGUUUACCUAUUGCUUGGUCUUGGAGAUGGAAGCCAAUUUAUUGGAAUCCUCUUCGAAAUUCAAUGGCGAAGACCCUUGCUCUCCCAAGUGUAGUAAUAACUUAUGUCACUGAAGGAAGCGAGAAAUCUUCUGCCGUAACCCCCAUAUUUUCUAUGAUUGACCUCGGAUCAGGUAGGGAUACCCGCUGAACUUAAGCAUAUCAAUAAGCGGAGGA